rnacentral:rRNA from 1 species
UGGUGGAAUGAUUUGUCUGCUUAAUUGCGAUAACGAACGAGACCUUAACCUACUAAAUAGCCCGGCUAGCUUUUGCUGGUCGCAGGCUUCUUAGAGGGACUGUCGGCUCAAGCCGAUGGAAGUUUGAGGCAAUAACA